rnacentral:rRNA from 1 species
UGGGGAAUUUUGCACAAUGGAGGAAACUCUGAUGCAGCGACGCCGCGUGAGUGAUGAAGAUCUUCGGAUUGUAAAACUCUGUCCUUAGUGAAGAUAAUGACAGUAACUAAGAAGCAAGCCCUGGCUAAAUACGUGCCAGCAGCCGCGGUAAUACGUAUGGGGCAAGCGUUGUCCGGGAUUAUUGGGCGUAAAGGGUACGUAGGCGGUUUAAUAAGUCCUAAUUAAAAGGCUAUGGCUCAACCAUAGUAUGGUUAGGAAACUGUUGAACUUGAGUAGAUGAGGGGAAAGUGGAAUUCCAUGUGUAGCGGUGAAAUGCGUAGAUAUAUGGAGGAACACCAAUGGCGAAGGCAACUUUCUGGAAUCAAACUGACGCUGAGGUACGAAGGCGUGGGGAGCAAACAGG